AUUGAACGCUGGCGGCACGCUUAACACAUGCAAGUCGAACGGCAGCAUAAUAAGAGCUUGCUCUUAUUGAUGGCGAGUGGCGAACGGGUGAGUAACGCGUAGGAAUAUGCCUUAAAGUGGGGGAUAACCCGAGGAAACUCGAGCUAAUACCGCAUAAGCUCUACGGAGUAAAGCUAGGGACUUUCGAGCCUGGCGCUUUAAGAAUAGCCUGCGUCUGAUUAGCUAGUUGGUGGGGUAAAGGCUUACCAAGGCGAUGAUCGGUAGCUGGUCUGAGAGGAUGGACAGCCACACUGGGACUGAGACACGGCCCAGACUCCUACGGGAGGCAGCAGUGGGGAAUAUUGGACAAUGGGGGGAACCCUGAUCCAGCGAUGCCGCGUGUGUGAAGAAGGCCUGAGGGUUGUAAAGCACUUUUAGUGGGGAGGAACGGGUUUAGGUUAAGAGCUAGAACCUUUGACGUUACCCACCAUAAACAGCACCGGCUAACUCCGUG
rnacentral:rRNA from 1 species